rfam:Eubacterium hallii CAG:12 genomic scaffold, scf164
AAUAUUCUUCAGGGCAGGGUGUAAUUCCCGACCGGCGGUAAGCGUUUUGAAGUUUUAGGAGGAAGCGUAAGCCCGCGAGCGAUAGCAUGAUCCGGUGUGAUUCCGGAGCCGACGGUACAGUCCGGAUGUAAGAAGAAGAAA